UACCUAGUUCACAGUACAUGAAAUCGUUUCUCCAACUACAUUGCUACCAUCACUGACGUCCUCAUCACUAACGAGGCCUAGACUCCGAUUCUCUCUUUUCUUCUCCGAAAUACUCUUGUGUAUUUCAAAUUCGGAGCCAAAAUCUGGUCAAAGAGAAACAACAACCCUAAAUUCAGCCCGAUCGACCAGCUAUUGAUGAGAGGUCUUUAAAGAUUGUAGUCUUCUUCGCUUCACAGUGAAGAAAUGCAUAGUCGGGGACCGAAUCACCGGCUAUCUGGUUCGGCUUUCAGAUCUCAAGUUUCGGUUCUCAUGCUAGCCAUGUUGACACCAUGGCAUGGAUUUACGUCGUCGGCCGGCUACGGCUGGAUUAUGAGAAUGGGGCUUAUUUGAUUAAAGAGCUGGAUAGGAGAACUAGUCAGAGUAAUUGACUAGAUAAUGGGUUUUUCCAUUUUAAUGGUUUUUGUGUGCAAUCAGCCAAUGACACACUGAAAAUUAUAGCAUGCAGGGAACAACACAAGAAGUUAGCAGCCCUUGAGAUGGAGCUAGCGGCAUCACAACAGGAAGAUUUUGCCUCAAAGAACUUGUUAGAAAAUAAGGGGACUCCUCCCAAGAAAAGGCUUUUAGCUGUUGUUGGAAUUAUUACAAAGUUUGGCCACAAGAACAAUAGAGAUGCAAUCUGUAAGGGCAUGGAUGCCAACUGAUACUCUGGAAGCAACUCUUGCUACUCAUUUGAAUAAGCCUCGAGUUUAUAUUGGGUGUAUGAAAUCAGGCGAAGUUUUCUCAAAAGUUGAGUAUAAUCAAAGUUUUUUUUCUCUAUUGAUGAGAAAACGAGUUGUUUAUGAUAUUCUACUUUCAUAUAUUGUAUUAUCUUUUCAUAUUGUCUGAAUUAUGUAGGAUCCACAAGUGGUAAGAACCAGAUUGGUAGAAAUUUGGUGAUGGAAAAUCAUGAGUAUUUCUGUGUUGAUUUCAUCUUGUCUCUUAUAUUAGGAUAAGUAAUUAUUACUUUCUAGUUAUGUUAACUAGUCAAGAAGUCUCUUAGCAUCUCUGAAUUCAUCUGAUAGGUGAUAGAAGUCCCAAUGAACAACUAGGGCAUUGUCCCAUAAGAGGCUUGCUUGAUAGAGAGAAGUUUUUUAGGCAUUCAAACAAUUUAUCAUUCCAUCAUAUUCUUGUCAUCUAUUACACUUAAUUUGCCUACCCUUGCACCCAUAUUUUAACCAUCUCAACUCUAAUUUGUGUCGAGGUAUCCUAGAGUCUGCAUAGGGAUGCCUUCUCGGGAAGUCAGGCUUACAUUGGUUGAAGAUACAUUUAGCAAAUUUAUAUGCUGGUGGAGUGGACAAGUUAUCAUAUGAGGGUUAGGUAGCAUUUACUGAGAAUCAUUUGGAAGAUAUCUUUGAGUCCGCAGAUAAACCUCUGGAAGGAAGACGUUGGUGAUUGUCUGUCGAGGAUCCUUUUCAAUGCUUGGCAGCGUGUAUUAAUCUAUCAAAUGCAUUAAGAAGCUCCCCUCCAGAGACUACCAUUUCACACAUGCCUGUCCACUAGGUACUUCAUUCUUAGCAUGGUCACAUUCAAACUGAGAAAUGUUUACCAAGUGAAAUCAAAUUAAUCCCACCUCCUCCCUAGUCUACCCAAUCCCACAAUAAAAAAGAAAUCUCAAAACUAGCUUUUAUUGGAAUUGUGUUCUAUGCAUAGUCAUAUCAUUUGUUGCCCUAUGUAUUUUGUAUAAACUCCUCCAAGCAUAUAGCUCCUCUGCAUUUACACAUGGAAAAUGACAAUCAUAUGAUUGUACAUAUCCUUCAGAGUACCCCAUUUGUUACCCCAUUAUUAGGAGCAAAAAUAAUGGAUCGACCACUUCUUUCAUAGCCCUGUCUUAUGUUUGUGCUAUCCUGCUAUAGUAUGCUUGAGAGGAUAACAAACAUUUCCCUGACUUUACUUUUGUUUUCAUAUUAAAUGCUUAGAUUCAGGUCAUUUGUUUAUCCAAACUUAAUCUAUGAUUGUAUUGUUCUAUGUUUUUCAAGGAUGGCUCUUGCAAUGGCUUACAACACCAUGCUGCCCUUGGAAGGGACAAGUUAGUGGAAUUUUCUGUUUUUGGUUGAUUGUUGUGGAAUUCUGAUUAUGUGAUAUGGAAGCAUGGUUUUUGAUUAGUUAGACAGUUUUUCACUCUUUUUCUGCUUUGAGGCUAAAUGUGUCUCAGCUUUGAUCUUCUCUCUUUUUGAUAGAAAAAAGGAACUUUGUUAAGGAAAGAUGGUAAAAGGAUGAGGAGUUGGAAAUUGAAACCCAAGAAAGAAACCAAACUUUGUUUGAGUUUAGUGCAGUUUAUUUAAUUUGAUUUUUCAAGUAA